AAAACAAAAAAAAACACAAGCUGAUAAUUUUAUGAACUUCAUCUCAGGCAGGUCCAGUUUCAACUUAGUUGCUGCUAGUUUUGAAGUUUCAAAAGUCAUUGCCCAACAUGGAAAACCACUCAGUGAUGGAGAGUAUAUUAAAGAAGCUUGGCUAGAACGUGCACCUUUCCUUUUUGACGAUUUCUCAGAAAAAGAAAAGAUUAUUCAGCACAUUAAAGAUUUGUCCGUGAGCAGGAAAACAGCAGGAACCAGGUGAUG